ACAUGAAUGGUAUUAUCCAUCUGUUCCUAGUUCAGAGACCUUUCUAGAAACCUCCUUCUGAUAAGCUUACAUUGCAGCACCCUUUACACCUUACCUGUCCAUAUGUGACUGAUUCGGUGGCAUAUGAUUAGGUUGUCAAGGGAACUAUAUAUGCACUGGUUCCACAUUUGUGUGUAAAGUCUGCCAGCCUUUUGGUAUCCCUGUAAUAAUUUUUCCCCUCUUCGGAGUAACAUAUACAGGGUAUUGCAAUUUUAUUAUUUUUCUUGAUUUUCCCCUCUUCGGGGUAACAUAUACAGGGUAUUGCAAUUUUAUCAAUUUUCUCAAUUUUUUAAUGUUUUAAUUUGAUGGAAGGUGCCACAAUAUUAUAUUUCUUAUCUUUCACCUGGUCCUGGCUGUUGCAUGAUCUUUCUUUUCUGUUCCACUUCAGGUCAAGUAGUGCAGCUUUUACUAAUAGACCUAUAUGAUUUGCAAAAUGGCCGUAACUUUUUGAUCAAUCCAUGCUGUAUCAACCCUAAAGCUAAUGUAGUCCAUCUCCCUAAUUUUUCCCCAGUAAAACUUAAGAGGAUUGUAUGAUAAAUUCUUGUUCCUUGGUGAUUAGAAGCUAGAUCACAGUUAAAAUGUGCUUUUGCAGUUAGUUUUUAGAUUUGUGGAUGCAGGUAUGAUCUUAAGCCCUUGUUUUACCAAGAAA